AUUACCAUUCUCCUUAUCUGGUUUUAAGAUGAUGUUAUACUGUCUUCUGGCCUCUAUGUUUCCUGACGAAAAAAUGUUGGCCUUCAAAUUAUUGUUCUUUGAACAGGCACGUCAGAUGCAGUGGCUGAUACUUGUAAUCCCAAGCACUUUGCAAGGCUGAGGUGGGCAGAUUGCUUGAGCCAAGGAGUUCAAGACCAGCCUAGGCAACAUAGUGAAACCUUGUCUCUACAAAAACUACCUGAGUGUGGUGGCAUGUGCCUGUAGUCCCAGUUACUUGGGAGUCUGAGAUGGGAGGAUCACCUGAGCCCACUAAGUGAGGGCUGCAGUAAGCUGUGAUCACACCAUUGCACUCCAG
rnacentral:lncRNA from 10 species